rnacentral:ncRNA from 1 species
AGGAGCCGGAUGCGGGAAACCCGCUCGUCCGGAUCUGUGCGGGGGGUACGGCGAAAUUCGUAUCCCUACCGCGAC